rnacentral:lncRNA from 1 species
GGGCAAUGGCGGGCGCCCCUCCCCCAGCCUCGCUGCCGCCUUGCAGUUUGAUCUCAGACUGCUGUGCUAGCAAUCCGCGAGACUCCGUGGGGUAGGACCCUCCGAGCCAGGUGCGGCAUAUAAUCUCGUGGUGCGCCGUUUUUUAAGCCCGUGGGGAAAGCGCAGUGUUCUGGUGGGAGUGACCCGAUUUUCCAGGUGCCGUCCGUCACCCCUUUCUUUGACUAGGAAAGGGAACUCCCUGACCCUUGCUCUUCCCGAGUGAGGCAAUGCCUCGCCCUGCUUCGGCUCGCGCAGGGUGCGCGCACCCACUGACCUGCGCCCACUGUCUGGCACUCCCUAGUGAGAUGAACCCGGUACCUCAGAUGGAAAUGCAGAAAUCAACCAUCUUCUGUGUCGCUCACGCUGGGAGCUGUAGACCGGAGCUGUUCCUAUUUGGCCAUCUUGGCUCCUUCCUCAUCCUUAUUCAAUUCUUGAACGGGCCAUCACCGUCUUCAUAAAGAGAGCCAGUGACAAGUCCUGCCCUGGGACCUAGGAAAGACCCAAGAAGCCAGGAUUAUCCAGAACCCCAGAUCUGCUGACUCCUCCAUGUCCCCCGCCAAGGCUGGAGAAAGGCAGAACACUAACCUGAGACAGGAGGAGGGUCAUCACUCCCCACCCUUCAGCGUGGGCUGUGAAGAGGAACUUCCUUCUUAAGAGUACAGCAUGGGCAGUGAGACGAGAUCACACCACUGCACUCCAGCCUGGUAACAGAAUGAGACUACAUCUCAAAAAAAAAAAAAAAAAAAAAAAAAAAAAGGAUGGUUGCUUCCAAGAUGGCCAAAUAGGAACAGCUCUUGUCUGCAGCUCCCAGGGAGAUCAACACAGAAGACAGGUGAUUUCUGCAUUUCCAACUGAGGUACCUGGUUCAUCUCACUGGGACUGACUGGUUGGACUGUAGGUGCAGCCCACAGAGAGCAAGACGAAGCAGAGUGGGGUGUCACAUCACCUAGGAAGUGCAAGGGUUCAGGGGAUUUCCCUUUUCUAGCCAAGGGAAGCCGUGAGAGACUGUACCUGGAGGAACAGUAUACUCUUGCCCAAAUACUGUGCUUUUCCCAUGGUAUUAGCAACUGACAGACCAGGAGAUUCCCUCCUGUGCCUGGCUCAGUGUGUCCCAUGCCCACAGUCUUGCUCACUGUUAGCGCAGCAGUCUGAGAUCAACCUGCUAGGCUGCAGCCUGACAGGGGGAGGAGCAUCUGCCAUUGCUGAGGCUUGAGUAUUAAACAAAGCGGCUGGGAAGCUUGAACUGGGCAGAGCCCACCGCAGCUCAGCAGUGCCUACUGCCUCUCAAGAAUCUACCUCUGUGGGCAGGGCAUACCUGAACAAAAGGCAGCAGACAACAUCUGCAGACUUAAACGUCCCUGUCUGACAGCUCUGAAGAGAGUAGUGUUUCUCCCAGCAUGGCAUUUGAGCUCUGAGAACAGACAGACUGCCUCCUCAAGCAGGCCUCUGACCCCCAUGUAGCCUGUCUAGGGGACACCUCCCAGAAGGGGCCGACAGACACCUCAUACAGGCAGGUGCGCCUCUGGGACGAAGCUUCGAGAGGUAGGAGCAGGCAGCAAUAUUUGCUGUUCUGCAAUAUUUGCUGUUCUGCAGCCUCUGCUGGGGAAGACUGAGGGUCUGGAGUGGACCUCCAGCAAACUCCAACGGACCUGCUGCUGAGGGGCCUGACUGUUAGAAGGAAAACUAACAAACAGAAAAGAAUAGCAUCAACAUCAACAAAAAGGACAUCCACACCAAAACCCCAUCUGUAGGUCACCAACAUCAAAGACCAAAGGUAGAAUAAACCACAAAGAUGGGUAGAAACCAGAGCAGAAAGGCUGAAAAUUCCAAAAACCAGAGUGCCUUUUCUCCUCCAAAGGACUGCAGCUUCUCACCAGCAACAGAACAAAACUGGAGGGUGAAUGAGCUUGACGAGUUGACAGAAGUAGGCUUCAGAAGGUUGGUAAUAACAAACUUCUCGGAGCUAAAAGAAGGAUGUUUGAACCCAUGGCAAGGAAGCUAAAAACCUUGAAAAAAGGUUAGACGAAUGGCUAACUAGAAUAAACAGUGUAGAGAAGACCUUAAAUGACCUGAUGGAGCUAAAAACCGCAGCAUGAGAACUUCGUGAUGCAUGCACAAGCUUCAAUAGCCAAUUCGAUCAAGUGGAAGAAAGAAUAUCAGUGACUGAAGAUCAAAUUAAUGAAAUAAAGCGAGAAGACAAAAUUAGAGAAAAAUGAGUGAAAAGAAACGAACAAAGCUUCCAUGAAAUAUGCAAUUCUGUAAAAAGACCAAAUCUCCGUUUGAUUGGUGUACCUGAAAGUGACAGUGAGAAUGGAACCAAGUUAGAAAACACUCUUCAGGAUAUUAUCCAGGAGAACUUCCCAACCUAGAAAGGCGGGCCAACAUUCAAAUUCAGGAAAUACAGAGAACACCACAAAGAUACUCCUCUAGAAGAGCAACCCCAAGACACAUAAUUGUCAGAUUCACCAAGGUUGAAAUAAACGGAAAAAUGUUAAGGGCAGCCAGAGAGAAAGGUCAGAUUACCCACAAAGGCAAGCCCAUCAGACUAACAGUGCAUCUCUCGGCAGAAACCCUACAAGCCAGAAGAGAGUGGGGGCCAAUAUUCAACAUUCUUAAAGAAAAGAAUUUUCAACCCAGAAUUUCAUCUCCAGCCAAACUAAGCCUUCAUAAGUGAAGGAGAAAUAAAAUCUUUUACAGACAAGCAAAUGCUGAGAGAUUUUGUAACCACCAGACCUGCCUUACAAGAGCUCUUGAAGGAAGCACUAAACAUGGAAAGGAAGAACCGGUACCUGCCACUGCAAAAACAUGCCAAAUUAUAAAGACCAUCAAUGCUAUGAAGAAACUGCAUCAAUUAACAGGCAAAAUAACCAGCUAAUAUCAUAAUGACAGGAUCAAAUUCACACAUAACAAUAUUAACCUUAAAUGUAAAUGGACUAAAUGCCCCAAUUAAAACACACAGACUGGCAAAUUGAAUAAAGAGUCAAGACCCAUCAGUGUGCUGUAUUCAGGAGACCCAUCUCAUGUGCAGAGACACACAUAGGCUCAAAAUAAAGGGAUGUAGGAAGCUCCAC